rnacentral:rRNA from 1 species
CGUCAAAUCCUCAUGGCCCUUACGUCUGGGGCCAGACACGUGCUACAAUGGUCGGUACAGCGAGCUGCAAGCCGGUGACGGCAAGCUAAUCUCUUAAAACCGUCCUCAGUUCGGAUAGGAGUCUGCAAUUCGACUCCUUGAAGCUGGAAUCGCUAGUAAUCGCGGAUCAGCAUGCCGCGGUGAAUACGUUCCCGGGCCUU